GUUCUUUAGCAAGUUAUUUAGACGAAUGAAAUAAAUUUUAAUUUAAACGUCAUGGCCACAUUUCAAGCGAAGACCGAUAGAAAGCAAAUUUCGAUCAUAUUGAAUCUAAUGAAGUUAGAUUGUGUUGAUUUGUAUAAAAAAAUUCAUACGAAAAAAUCGCAACUCAAACAUGCUAUUGAGCUGUAUGAAGCGUUUAUGACAGACGAAAUAAAUACACUUUUUCAGUGUAACAAUAAUUUCAGUGACAUGGUGUUGAAACAUCGAAAAAGAUUUCAAACAUUUAUCGACGAUACAAUGAAAUCGAUUUUUGGUGAUGGAACAAAUCAAACGAAUGACAAAAUUGCCGACGAUGAUAACAAUAUUUAUGUGAUGUUCAUAUCGCUUCAAGAAUGGUACAUUCAAGGUUCCAAAGGUCAACAAUUUUAUUUUAUGAUUGACAUCGACUCAUUCAGCUACACAAAACUGGCGUCCCUAAAUUUUGCAUACACUUCACAAAAGACAGACAAUUCGAAUAGAAAUAAGAAGAACGGCAUUGGAACUGAUAAACGGGCCAGAAUCAUUGCAAUCGAUUUCAAGCACGAAACGUUCAUUGCAUUCAAAGCUGAUGAGACGAUUGAUUGUGAUAAUUGCACAAAGAAGAACAUCAAGCAAAUACAACACUUCUUAAAAAAGAAUCAAUCGACCGGCAUUAUGCCAACAAAGUGUGUAUUAAUCUUGUUGAAGCGUCUUUUCUAUGGCGUCGAUCACAUCGAAUGUACCGAGAAAAAUGUGCACACAAGCAAUUUGACUGUCAGCUAUAACUUUCAAUUUACGGAAACAAGUAAAACGUCCCAUAUUCAUGCGCAGAACCUAGCCGGAAUGCAGGCAUUGCAAACGCUUUGCGAAAUUGAAAACAAAUUUAUUCGAACCAAACGAAAUGAUAAUUAUCCACAAGAUUUUGCGUCCGAAAUUCAAAAAUUGAUAAUGAAUGGAUUUAAGACACAUUGUUCCAAAGUACUUAAUUUGGAUAAUAAAUCAAAUGUUUUGGCUGGUGUGAUUCAGACCAAAAAUGGAAUCGAUUUGACCACGGCCAGAGUUGUUGCAUUGUCAACAGGAACGAAAAACAUUGACGCUGAUGAACUUUUCAUCGCACAUGAUGGCAAUUUGCCAGAUACACACGCCGAAAUAGUGGUUCGACGAUGUUUAAUGUACUACCUUUAUGAUCAAAUGAAUUUAUUUCUGACACCAGAAACAUCGUAUCAAUCGAUUUUUGAGAAGUCACCACGAAGUUUGAAAAUAAGGCUAAAGGAUAAUAUUCGCUUUCAUUUGUACAUCAGCCAAGGUCCUUGCGGAGAUGCAACAUUUUUAGGUAAACAUGGUAACGCUGCAGAACAUCCAGAUCGUGAUAAACUUCGUGCAAAGGUGGAAAAGAGCAAAGGUUACAAACUAAUUUCAGAUUUGGAAAAUAUGCAAAAUGGAAGCGAUUUACAGACUCAACCUCUGUAUACAAUGUCCUGUUCAGAUAAAAUUGCUCGUUGGAAUGUGGUUGGUAUUCAAGGUGCUUUGUUAUCACGAAUUAUUGAACCGAUUUAUUUCGAUUCAAUUAUCUUGGGCAAAUAUCAAGCAAGAGACCAAGUAAAACGCUCAUUUUAUGGUCGAAUCGAACAUUCAAUUGGCUACUUACCGCAAUUUUAUUACCAUAAUGAGCCGUACAUUGCUUUCACCGUAUCAGGCAAUAGGAUGGUGCACCACGGAGCCCCGUCGUGUUCAUACAAUUGGAUCACCGGUUACAGUCAUGUCGAAGAAGUUGAAUCGAAAAGUGGAAAAGCGAAAAACGACACUGGCAUUUCGCGGCUUUCAAAACGAAGUCUAUUUCGUAAAUUUUUGAACAUAAAACGAAAAUUGCCUGACAUUGAUCACACCGACACAGGCAUUGCUGUUUAUGAAAAUGAAAAGUUCAAGGCUGAAGAUUAUCAGAAUGCAAAAGAUGCGUUAAUUGAUGCUUUCGACCGUUUAAACUUGGGAAACUGGAAACUGGCACAAAAGCCAAUGGAAAUCGACCGGGGAAUUGAAGAAAGAGUUUAGGAGUAAAAACAAACUUUUCUAUUUCAUUACAUUUUGACUAAAACAAUUCAUUUUUUAUUUAUAAACUGUUAAUCAACGUCCAAAGUAAACAUUGUCAAUGUCCAAAACACACAAAAUAGGAACAAUUUCAAGCAAUUUUUGCUCUUUCUAUAUCGUUUGACCAUAUUUUAGUAAAACUCAUUUAAGUCUAUGGCGCCGUAAGAAUGUUCAAUGUAAAAAAAGUACAAAGCCGAAGUGACUCAUACACACUUGCACACACAGAAUGUGUUUGCAUUAAACAACAAGUUAAAUUACAUAAUUAACUGCAUAAUAUUUACAAGAUAACGCCGCGUUGGUAAAAGAACACGGUCUAUGCAUAAAUUUGUAUUCAUGCCUUUAAUAUAAUUAGGCGAGGCAUAUAACUGGUGAAAAAAGGAUUUUAUGGCAUUGUUAAAUUAGCCCCUUUCACAACAUUAACGUAUUUUUUAUAGCUAGAAUACCAGUACAAUCUAUUUAAAAAAUGUACAAUUCCAUAAGGCUCUUAAACAUAUCAAACGCUCUUAAAGCAAAAUUCGUGUAAAAAAUAUUAAAAUUUCAUCUUAUGGAAUUUACCCAUUCACUUUGAUAUUUUACCCAAAAAAACUAUACUGUACCUUUCAAAAGUGCACGGAAAUACAUAGAAAAAGUCAUUACCCAUACCAAAACGUAAGUCACGUACAGUUAAUGGCAAAAAAAGUUUUCGAAUAAAAA